CUAUGGCUUAAUGAUGUAUAAAUAUGAAUUUAAAGCAAAGGUCAAAAUCUAGAACGUCCAAUUUACCUUUGACCUGACUCAAUUUCAAGGUCAUAGACUAAACAUCUCGAAUCAAAAGACACUAGUUCCUUAAUAUGUAUGGUUCAUGAGUAAUAUCACUUUACGCAUAAUUCUAAAUAUAAGAGAGGCAAAAACUCCCAUGUAUUGUCUACGCACCCUUCCAAUCAAAAUUUAUCAGUUACGACAUGUCGCAACUAACAAUUUAGUAAAAAUAAUUUGUCGAAAUCUUAUAAAGUUAAUGAAGUAAGUGAAAAUAAGCCAAAAUCAAAAAGGUCAAAAUUUGACCUUGACCUUUGACCUUGACCUAAUUUUCAUUUUUUUGGACCAAGGAUCUUAAAUCAAAAGACCCUAGGUCUCUAUCACUUAUGGUUUACAGUUAGAAAUGCAAAUCAUAUAUCAUAUAUAAAAGGGGGGAUAUCUCUCAUAUGGAGUCUCCGGAUAGCUUCAGUCCAAAUAAAACAGAACAUCCUGAGGAUAUAACGAGCAAUUUGGAAAAAUAAAUUUGUCGGUUUCUUAUACGGUUGCGAAGCCUUAGAGAUAACAAGAAAAACAGUGUUCGGGGAGAUAACUCUUACAAGGUAAAGUUUUUUGUUACGCGGUGUCAGUUUCAGAAGCGUAUUAACUGUUCGAUAUCAUAUACCAUAUAUCUUACGACAUCUGCAAACAAAAAAACAGUGAAGGAAAAAAAAGUUGGCGGAAGAAAAAAAAAAAUAAUAAUAAUAAUAAUAAUAAUAAUAAUAAUCAGAACAAA
rnacentral:lncRNA from 1 species